rnacentral:rRNA from 1 species
GACGAACGCUGGCGGCGUGCUUAACACAUGCAAGUCGAACGGAGCGAAUGAAAGCUUGCUUUUAUGAGCUUAGUGGCAAACGGGUGAGUAACACGUAGACAACCUGCCGACAGGAUGGGGACAACAUUCCGAAAGGAAUGCUAAUACCGAAUGAAGCGGAGGAGAGGCAUCUCUCCUCCGUGAAAGAUGGCCUCUAUUUAUAAGCUAUCACCUGUCGAUGGGUCUGCGUCUGAUUAGCUAGUUGGUGAGGUAACGGCUCACCAAGGCGACGAUCAGUAGCCGGUCUGAGAGGAUGAACGGCCACAUUGGGACUGAGACACGGCCCAGACUCCUACGGGAGGCAGCAGUGGGGAAUCUUCCGCAAUGGGCGCAAGCCUGACGGAGCAACGCCGCGUGAGUGAAGAAGGUCUUCGGAUCGUAAAGCUCUGUUGAUGGGGACGAACGUGCGAAGGGUGAAUAAUCCUUGCAAUGACGGUACCUAUUCGAGGAAGCCACG